GGAACAGCUGGAUUAACAUCUCUAGAGACUCGCAGGGAGAAAUGAACAUGUGCAUUUGAUGGCUCCAGCAGCUGAAUCUGAUGCAAACUCCACUGAAAGUCAUGGAAGGAAAGAAAGAAUCAAAGUGUGAACAUGAACCAACAGUGAGGGAAACAAAGACAAUAAGCUUGACUGUGGGUCUGCCUGCAACCCAGAACCCCACCCUGGGAAAAAGUCUAACAGCAAAACUCUCUUCAAUGAGACCAAAAGUUGUAACUUUCAAUGGUUCAAUUUGAAAAAUGUAAUCUAAA